UACGUAGGGUCCGAGCGUUGUCCGGAAUUAUUGGGCGUAAAGGGCUCGUAGGCGGUUCGUCACGUCGGGUGUGAAAACUCGGAGCUUAACUCCGAGCCUGCUUCCGAUACGGGCAGACUAGAGGUAGGCAGGGGAGAGCGGAACUCCUGGUGUAGCGGUGGAAUGCGCAGAUAUCAGGAAGAACACCGGUGGCGAAGGCGGCUCUCUGGGCCUUACCUGACGCUGAGGUGCGAAAGCGUGGGGAGCAAACAGG
rnacentral:rRNA from 1 species